rnacentral:rRNA from 1 species
AUGACCCCUGUGGAUUUGACCCUACCUACACCCGGAGCCAAUCCCCUAGUGGUCCUGCCACCACGCCGCAGAACAGGAGCUCGUGUGGAACCUUGGAUUUCUGGCGUAACAGUGGUGGAAGGUAUCAAAAUAUUACGGCCGCAUAACAUAGUAUAUACGCUAAGGUCGGCCAAAAUAUGGACACCCGAAGGGCCCGGCGCGCACAAUCCUAUCCUAUCCUAUCCGAGCAUCAUAAGGAGCACCUCCCUUUCGAGGUACCCAAAUGGAAUGGUCUUUAUUUGUGUUGUUGGUUGGUCUUUCUCAACGUGGUCUAUAUCACGAAAAACCAUUCUUUACAAGAUAGGGCCGUUCACAUGA